rnacentral:rRNA from 1 species
AGAGUUUGAUCCUGGCUCAGGAUGAACGCUAGCUACAGGCUUAACACAUGCAAGUCGAGGGGCAUCAGGAAGAAAGCUUGCUUUCUUUGCUGGCGACCGGCGCACGGGUGAGUAACACGUAUCCAACCUGCCCUUUACUCGGGGAUAGCCUUUCGAAAGAAAGAUUAAUACCCGAUAGCAUAAUGAUUCCGCAUGGCUUCAUUAUUAAAGGAUUCCGGUAAAGGAUGGGGAUGCGUUCCAUUAGGUUGUUGGUGAGGUAACGGCUCACCAAGCCUUCGAUGGAUAGGGGUUCUGAGAGGAAGGUCCCCCACAUUGGAACUGAGACACGGUCCAAACUCCUACGGGAGGCAGCAGUGAGGAAUAUUGGUCAAUGGGCGCUAGCCUGAACCAGCCAAGUAGCGUGAAGGAUGAAGGCUCUAUGGGUCGUAAACUUCUUUUAUAUAAGAAUAAAGUGCAGUAUGUAUACUGUUUUGUAUGUAUUAUAUGAAUAAGGAUCGGCUAACUCCGUGCCAGCAGCCGCGGUAAUACGGAGGAUCCGAGCGUUAUCCGGAUUUAUUGGGUUUAAAGGGAGCGUAGGUGGACUGGUAAGUCAGUUGUGAAAGUUUGCGGCUCAACCGUAAAAUUGCAGUUGAUACUGUCAGUCUUGAGUACAGUAGAGGUGGGCGGAAUUCGUGGUGUAGCGGUGAAAUGCUUAGAUAUCACGAAGAACUCCGAUUGCGAAGGCAGCUCACUGGACUGCAACUGACACUGAUGCUCGAAAGUGUGGGUAUCAAACAGGAUUAGAUACCCUGGUAGUCCACACAGUAAACGAUGAAUACUCGCUGUUUGCGAUAUACAGUAAGCGGCCAAGCGAAAGCAUUAAGUAUUCCACCUGGGGAGUACGCCGGCAACGGUGAAACUCAAAGGAAUUGACGGGGGCCCGCACAAGCGGAGGAACAUGUGGUUUAAUUCGAUGAUACGCGAGGAACCUUACCCGGGCUUAAAUUGCAGUGGAAUGGUGUGGAAACAUGUCAGUGAGCAAUCACCGCUGUGAAGGUGCUGCAUGGUUGUCGUCAGCUCGUGCCGUGAGGUGUCGGCUUAAGUGCCAUAACGAGCGCAACCCUUAUCUUUAGUUACUAACAGGUCAUGCUGAGGACUCUGGAGAGACUGCCGUCGUAAGAUGUGAGGAAGGUGGGGAUGACGUCAAAUCAGCACGGCCCUUACGUCCGGGGCUACACACGUGUUACAAUGGGGGGUACAGAAGGCAGCUAGCGGGUGACCGUAUGCUAAUCCCAAAAGCCUCUCUCAGUUCGGAUCGAAGUCUGCAACCCGACUUCGUGAAGCUGGAUUCGCUAGUAAUCGCGCAUCAGCCACGGCGCGGUGAAUACGUUCCCGGGCCUUGUACACACCGCCCGUCAAGCCAUGGGAGCCGGGGGUACCUGAAGUACGUAACCGCAAGGAUCGUCCUAGGGUAAAACUGGUGACUGGGGCUAAGUCGUAACAAGGUAGCC